GACGAACGCUGGCGGCGUGCUUAACACAUGCAAGUCGAGCGAUGAAGCACCUUCGGGUGUGAAUUAGCGGCGAACGGGUGAGGAACACGUGAAGAAUCUGCCUUCAACUCUGGGAUAACUCCGGGAAACCGGGGCUAAUACCGGAUAUGAGCCUUGAUCGCAUGAUCGGGGCUGGAAAGUUUUUCGGUUGAAGAUGACUUCGCGGCCUAUCAGCUUGUUGGUGAGGUAAUGGCUCACCAAGGCGACGACGGGUAGCCGGCCUGAGAGGGCGACCGGCCACACUGGGACUGAGACACGGCCCAGACUCCUACGGGAGGCAGCAGUGGGGAAUAUUGGGCAAUGGAGGAAACUCUGACCCAGCGACGCCGCGUGAGGGAUGAAGGCCUUCGGUUGUAACCGCUUUCAGCAGGGAAGAAGCGAAAGUGACGGUACCUGCAGAAGAAGCACCGGCUAACUAUGUG
rnacentral:rRNA from 1 species